rnacentral:rRNA from 1 species
UGAUACGCGAGGAACCUUACCUGGGCUACGAACGUAAGAUGACUGUAGGUGAAAGCUUACAUCUCUUCGGAGCAUUUUACGAGGUGCUGCAUGGUUGUCGUCAGCUCGUGCCGUGAGGUGUCGGGUUAAGUCCCAUAACGAGCGCAACCCCUACCUUUAGUUGCCAUCAGGUUAAGCUGGGGACUCUAAAGGAACUGCCUACGCAAGUAGUGAGGAAGGCGGGGAUGACGUCAAAUCAGCACGGCCCUUACGUCCAGGGCUACACACGUGCUACAAUGGCCGAUACAGAGGGCAGCUACCUGGUGACAGGAUGCAAAUCUCCAAAGUCGGUCUCAGUUCGGAUCGGAGUCUGCAACCCGACUCCGUGAAGCUGGAUUCGCUAGUAAUCGCGCAUCAGCCACGGCGCGGUGAAUACGUUCCCGGGCCUU